GUCACCACAAAGGGGAGCAAAACGCUGAGAUUGGAGCAAUCCUAAACCCUUCGAACCUGUUCGUUAGUACGAGCGUAGGGAUUUGUGGAAGUGAAUAUG
rnacentral:ncRNA from 2 species